rnacentral:rRNA from 1 species
GGUGAACGCUGGCGGGGGGCUUAACACAUGCGAGUCGAGCGCAGGCCCCUUUACCUUUUGGUAGAGGGGUGCUGAGCGGCAAACGGGCGAGUAACACGUGCCUAACCUGCCCCGGAGUGGGGGAUAACGGGGGAAACUCCGCUAAUCCCCCAUACGCUCCUUGGGGUGAGAUUCCCCUUGGAGGAAAGGCCAGGAAGGGUAACUGACCUGGUCGCUCUGGGAGGGGGGCGCGGCCCAUCAGCUAGUUGGUGAGGUAACGGCUCACCAAGGCUAUGACGGGUAGCCGGCCUGAGAGGGUGACCGGCCGCAACGGGACUGAGACACGGCCCGGACUCCUACGGGAGGCAGCAGUGGGGAAUUUUGGGCAAUGGGCGCAAGCCUNACCCAGCGACGCUGCGUGGAGGAAGAAGCCCUUCGGGGUGUAAACUCCUGUCACCGGGGACGAAGCUUAUCAGGGUUAAUAGCCCUGAUGAGUGACGGUACCCGGAGAGGAAGGGACGGCUAACUACGUGCCAGCAGCCGCGGUUAAUACGUA